rnacentral:rRNA from 1 species
GACGAACGCUGGCGGCGUGCUUAACACAUGCAAGUCGAACGGAAAGGCCCUGCUUUUGUGGGGUGCUCGAGUGGCGAACGGGUGAGUAACACGUGAGUAACCUGCCCUUGACUUUGGGAUAACUUCAGGAAACUGGGGCUAAUACCGGAUAGGAGCUCCUGCUGCAUGGGGGGGGUGGGAAAGUUUCGGCGGUGGGGGAUGGACUCGCGGCUUAUCAGCUUGUUGGUGGGGUAGUGGCUUACCAAGGCUUUGACGGGUAGCCGGCCUGAGAGGGUGAACGGCCACAUUGGGACUGAGAUACGGCCCAGACUCCUACGGGAGGCAGCAGUGGGGAAUAUUGCACAAUGGGCGGAAGCCUGAUGCAGCAACGCCGCGUGCGGGAUGACGGCCUUCGGGUUGUAAACCGCUUUCGCCUGGGACGAAGCGUGAGUGACGGUAAUGGGUAAAGAAGCACCGGCUAACUACGUG